GAGGCGGAACAGUAAACUCUGGUUUCCCUUUAUCUCAACGCUAGCCAUUUCAAAGGAAGGGAACAGUCGCCAGAGGGGAGUGUACCGGAAGUGACUGAAUUUACGGGGCCUUGUUUUUGAAUUUCUUCUUCAUGCAAAUUAUUUUUUUGACUAUGUGGUUUCUGGGGGCCCUUGGGCACAGAGCACCAGUGAGCCUCUUGUUCCUCCUCCUUGCUCCUCAGAUCAUACUCCUCCUUUCUCUUGGCCCUAGCCCUUUCAACAAACAUAGAGCGAUAUAGCAAUCCUUUAUUGUAAAAACAAAAUUAGAAGCCUUUUAAACUUUUUUUGUGAACAAUAUAAUUUAGGAGGUAUAGCUUAAUCUGUAAUCCUAAACUCACUUGUCUGGGAGUUUAAAUGCCGUUGAAUUCGAUGGGACUUGCUUUCCAGCAGACGUGUCAUUUGUUGGGAUUAUUUACAUCCACAAUGGCAAGGUUGCAGCACGAAAGGACUGAGGAAGACCUGCUCUGGGAGUAUCUGGCAUCUGGGUGCUUGCUAUUAGCUCCUUUGGGCUGCUGUCUGUCGAGACAGCUGAAGUCCCUGGUGGUCUCUUCCAAAACCUCGCCAGCUUCAGAGACAUCCCUGGAAGGAAAAAAACACAGACAAUGAGGGGGAUGGCAACUAUCCAACAGCCUCACCCAGGCACCUCCACCGGCGUCCGCCUGGCAACUUCAUCCGCUAGCUUCCACCUGCCAACAUUCAACAUUCACGGGUUUCAUCUGUUCAUGAAUAUCCACUGGUUUGUCACAUUCACACAUUUACACCCCCCCCACCCACCCCCUCGACCGCAUCCGAAACCACUCACACACAAACACAUGGCCAGCCGACAUCCAUGAAGAACGCCAGUGGCAACAUCUGCCCCUCUCUCGCCCCCCCAAACAUUCACAUUCGUGCCCCGGCUUCAACCCACAAAUACCCACCUUCCGCUAGGUCCAUCGCUAGACAUCAGCCAGCUUCAGAUGUGAGUAUCAGCCACCUUCAAGCCGCGAUCCCGCUCAGCAAGUAAACUUGCCUCAUUAUUGCUCCAUGAUGGCAUCCCGCAGCCAGAUGAUCACCUCCUUGCGUUGGCCAAUUCGCCUCCUCCAAGUGAAAGAAGACCAGGCAAUGUUUUUGCCUCAGUCCACUGGCUUUCCACUUGGCCCACCUUUAUAUCCACUCAGCGGCCAUGUGGUUUUGUUAUGUCACAGGCAGUCCACAGCCCAUGGCAACAGCUGGGGAGGCCUCAUCAUCAUCAUCUCUUCACACACCUCACAAUUGUGGGUGUAACUCAGCUGGGAUUUAUUUGAUUGCUCUUUUAAUAUUAAAAAGUUUUAUAGCCCACCCUUCAUGUGUACUUAUACUGGGCUGGGGAAGAUUGUUCAGCCCAAGGAUGGCCAUCCCUUGUGGGCAACAUUCCAGGGACUACAUGCCAGAGGAGGGCAGGGCCAGAGGCAAAAAGUAGGGAUGGCCAGAUGCAAGUGUGGAUGGAGCAACGGCCGUGACUUAUCUUUGUACAUUCGGCUCCAUUCCAGCUAUGCAAAAAUAAAAGGUUUCUGCACUUUCCCAUCUCUCCAGUCCACUUAAGCAACAGGUGUCAUCACAGUUCAAGGACACAAAAGCACUCGAGGAGGGUUUGAAGCUGGGCGUGUGAUGGGCAUGGCCUGGGAAGAUUCCUGAGGGCCGGGCAGAACGUGUUGGAGAGCUGCUGAGAUUCCCUACGUCUGUCAUAACAUACAGUUUGAGAUAAAGGUUAUAUUUAUUUAUUUUAUAUAAAUAUAUAAAUAUUCAUGACUUUAUUUUAACGAAAACAGUCUUUGUGUU